rnacentral:tRNA from 1 species
GUCCCUGUAGCUCAAUGGACAGAGCAGUCGCGUCCUAAGCGACCUAUGGGGGUUCGAUUCCUCUCAGGGACG